GCAUUGGUUCAGUGGUAGAAUCCUUGCCUUCCAUACAGGAGACCUGGGUUUGACUCCCAGCCAGCGCA
rnacentral:tRNA from 1 species